GGCACCAUUAGGUAGACUGGGAUUUGUUGUUGAGCGCAGUAAGACAACAACAAAAUCACUAGUCUUCCAGAUGGGGCC
ensembl:miRNA MIR3529 microRNA 3529